rnacentral:rRNA from 1 species
AGACGUCUACAUUAGAUACCCGCGUAGUCCCAGCCGUAAACUAUGCUCGCUAGGUGUCAGGCAUGGCGCGACCGUGUCUGGUGCCGCAGGGAAGCCGUGAAGCGAGCCACCUGGGAAGUACGGCCGCAAGGCUGAACUUAAGGAAUUGGCGGGGAGCACAACAACGGGUGGAGCCUGCGGUUUAAUUGGACUCAACGCCGGACAACUCACCGGGAACGACAGCAAUAUGUAGGCCAGGCUGAAGACCUUGCCUGAAUCGCUG